UACGUAGGGUGCAAGCGUUAAUCGGAAUUACUGGGCGUAAAGCGUGCGCAGGCGGUCUUGCAAGACAGAUGUGAAAUCCCCGGGCUUAACCUGGGAACUGCAUUUGUGACUGCAAGGCUGGAGUACGGUAGAGGGGGAUGGAAUUCCGCGUGUAGCAGUGAAAUGCGUAGAUAUCAGGAGGAAUACCGAUGGCGAAGGCAGGUCUCUGGGCUAACACUGACGCUCAUGCACGAAAGCGUGGGGAGCAAACAGG
rnacentral:rRNA from 1 species